ACCAAUAAAAACAGUCCGUCUAUAAAAAUACAGUCCAUCGACAAUAAGCCACCAGAUAUAGACAUCCGGCCUCAACAAUGACCGCAGGAAAACUUCCACGAUACUCCUACGUAACACACGCUACUGCCUUGAAUAUCCUCACCUGGCUCCUCACCAACACUCUAUCCUCUCAGCGCAUGCCACCCCGUCAUCCUAUCUAGCACAGAACACUUCCAAAAUAUUCCCGUACAAUAACAUAGCCAUUCAUUGUAUUCAUCCGCCAUAUUUUGCCAAUUUUGUAAACCAAACCGCAACCUAGUUAAUAAAUACCCGGAUGUACAAUAACCGGAAACGGAAACAGCAAUAUCUAUUUUCAUCUAAUACUCGUAUAACCACGAGCGCAAUCCCCUCAUAACCCCUCGCUUCGCUGCAUACGGAAUACCUACAAGACACGCAAUCUAAGCUCCGCCAAUACACAUCUCAGACCAAGCCAUGCACUCAGCCGGAGCCAGGCGCUACAGAGGUUUGGCCAUCGCAUGCACCACGCUUCACUACAGGCAUUACUAACGAGCGUGUAGGGGCGGGUGAUGAGGGCCUUAUCAUUCGAAACACGCUUCAUAUACGAAUCAUCUCCCUAGUUUUUUCCCCUUUUACUCCCACCAUCAUCGCCGGUUUUCCCCUAGCUUUCCCCUAAGUCCCCCCGCUUUCAUCUCCAGGUUCGUAUAUGACCAACCAACAGACCUCGCCCCCUGAAGAGAAGUCUUGGUUGGCGUUACAUGCCUUUAGUUCUACAUUUCGCAGAGCUCUUUGAAAUGACCUACACACUUUUGUCUUAUUGGUUUAUUUUGUUAUGUCCAUUUUACAUAUACAUGCCGGUUGGUUUCUUC